rnacentral:rRNA from 1 species
CCUACGGGAGGCAGCAGUGAGGAAUAUUGGUCAAUGGACGCGAGCCUGAACCAGCCAUGUAGCGUGCAGGAUGACGGCCCUACGAGUUGUAAACUGCUUUUGUACGAGGGUAAACGCAGACACGUGUAUCUGUCUGAAUGUACCGUACGAAUAAGGAUCGGCUAACUCCGUGCCAGCAGCCGCGGUAAUACGGAGGAUCCGAGCGUUAUCCGGAUUUAUUGGGUUUAAAGGGUGCGUAGGUGGUUGGAUAAGUUAGAUGUGAAAUUCCGGGGCUCAACCUUGGAAUUGCCACUGAUACUGGUCGCCUUGAGAGUAGUUGAGGUAGGCGGAAUGCGUGGUGUAGCGGUGAAAUGCUUAGAGAUCAUGAAGAACUCCGAUUGCGAAGGCAGCUUACCAAGCUACUUCUGACGUUGAGGCACGAAAGCGUGGGGAUCAAACAGGAUUAGAUACCCCUGUAGUC